rnacentral:rRNA from 1 species
GACGAACGCUGGCGGCGUGCUUAACACAUGCAAGUCGAACGAAGAGCGAUGGAAGCUUGCUUCUAUCAAUCUUCGUGGCGAACGGGUGAGUAACGCGUAAUCAACCUGCCCUUCAGAGGGGGACAACAGUUGGAAACGACUGCUAAUACCGCAUACGAUCUAAUCUCGGCAUCGAGGAUAGAUGAAAGGUGGCCUCUACAUGUAAGCUAUCACUGAAGGCGGGGAUUGCGUCUGAUUAGCUAGUUGGAGGGGUAACGGCCCACCAAGGCGAAGCUCAGUAGCCGGUCCGAGGGGAUGAACGGCCACAUUGGGACUGGGACACGGCCCAGACUUCUAAGGGAGGCAGCAGUGGGGAAUCUUCCGCAAUGGACGAAAGUCUGACGGAGCAACGCCGCGUGAGGGAUGACGGCCUUCGGGUUGUAAAGCUCUGUUAAUCGGGACGAAAGGCCUUCUUGCGAAUAGUGAGAAGGAUUGACGGUACCGGAAUAGAAAGCCACGGCUAACUACGUG